rnacentral:lncRNA from 1 species
UAUGCCCUUGCAUGGACACUUGGACUUCUCAUUUGCGUCAGCAUGGCAUCCUGAUGGUGUCACUUUUGCAACCGGGAACCAAGACAAAACAUGCCGAAUUUGGGAUGUUCGAAACUUGUCAAGGUCAAUUGCUGUUCUCAAGGGGAACCUUGGAGCAAUACGGUCCAUUCGCUACACAUCUGAUGGUAAGUACAUGGCCAUGGCUGAGCCUGCUGACUUUGUGCAUGUGUAUGACGUGAAAAGUGGGUAUGAGAAUGAGCAAGAAAUCGAUUUCUUUGGUGAGAUAUCCGGCCUAUCCUUUAGUCCGGACACAGAGUCUCUCUUUAUUGGUGUAUGGGAUCGUACAUAUGGCAGCCUUCUUGAGUAUGGCCAGCGGAGGAACUACUUAUAUCUUAAUUCCCUAAUGUGAGUUGAUUGUGAUGCAGGCAAAACAAGCAUGCUGGUGUAGUUUAUGAUAUUUGAGGAACUUGUAUCAUUUCAAGUUGUAGAAGAGGGUUUACUGUAGAUGUAAAAUGUAAAAUGAAAUGAAAUCUGUAACUUUAGGUGAUUGCUGUUGAAUUAGAAUUUAGUUUUCUGAUGAUAUAAGAUGUUAAUGGGAGAAAGGGUAGAAUUAGAUAGGGUUCUUAAGUUGAACAAAAGUGAAAGACGUGUAUGGUUUCCUUGGGUGGGGAGCUACACACUACAGGUUUUAAAUUUGAAUUUAUACACGGUGGAUUUAACUCAACUAAGAUUCGUAUACUAGUAUACCCAAAUAUUAUAAAAAAUAGUGAUAUAAUUAGAGGAUGUAUUUUUAUUGACCUCAACCUGUUCAUGUGUCCAGCUGUUGUCAUGGGUUGAAGCUUUAGCUCGGCUAUUCAUACGGCCUUAGAUGCCGCACAAUAAGCUCAACCAACAAUGACAAAAGGAUAUAGUCAAUACCCAAAGACACACAAGGUUAAAGGCACUUGAGAGAGAAGUUUAACAAGGAGCAGUGAUAAAAGAUUUAGUCAAUGCCAAAAACCACACGCAAGGUUAAAGGCACUUGACAGAAGAUAACGCAAGGAUAACACUUAAAGGAUAAAGGCACUUAAGAUAGUCAAUGCCAAAAAACACACACAAGGUUAAAGGCACUUGAGAGAGAGAGAGAGAUAACACAAGGAAAACACUUGCGAGAUGAUAAAGGCACACAAGGAAGAUUGUAGGAAAAUGCUUCGGUAUUUGACCGUCAAUGUGCGAACGUCGAACCCGAGGGACAUAAAGUAAUCAAAAUGCUAAGAAUCAAAAUACAUGCAAGGGAAAAACUAUUAAGCUACUAAGGCAACUAUUUAUUACGACAAUGGUAAAGAAAUGAUUUCUUACAAUUCCUAAUAAGAGAAUAAAUGUGCAAAAAUCCAAUUAUCAAAAUUAACAAAUAGGCAACAAUAGUGAUUGGUUAAUUUCCAUGCUAACAGUGAAUUUGUGCAUAAGGGAUUUAAUCACUAAUUUUCUCAUUUAUUAACAUCUCACAUUAAGUAUAUUCAAUAGAUAUUGCUCGUUUGAGCAUGCUUCCAGUAGAACCAGUGAGUAUGGUUCGAUUGAGCAUACUUUCAAUAGAAUCAGUAUCUCAUUUUUUUUUAAGAUCAUACUAUUAUACAAUAUGAUAUUUAAUAAAAUUAUAUCAACAUAGAAUAUAAAAAUUGUUAGAAGUAUAAAUAAUCGUACAAACUUACAGGAUUGAUUUGUAGUAACGGCUUAGAAUAUCUUAAUCAGUUAGGUUUGUCUCUUCGGAUUAUUAGCUUGACGCUUAUGGCAGAAUCGAAACUUUUUCAUCUUUCAAAGGAAAUCCUGGAGCUCUAGCGAGAUCAUUAAAGUUUCCAUGUGUUGGACCAAAAAAUCUUCUUUGGCUCCUAAAGAUGGUUUGAUUGAUAACAUAGGUUUACCUCAUGGGGAGCCUUUUUCCAAGGUUGAACCUUUCUUAACACCAAUGGUGUUGUUCAAGUAACGUCAGGAAGAGCAACUACUGGAGGAGUGGUACGGGAUGGUACUGGUGAUUGGGUGAUUGGUUAUAAUAGAUUCCUAAGGAAUUGUUCGAUUUUUGACACGGAACUUUGGGGCAUUUUGGAUGGCUUAAAACUCCUCCAACGUAAAGGUCAUAGCAGUGUAGUUAUUCACUUUGAUAGCUUGGAGGUAGUAAAAGCUAUUCAUGGAAAUAUUUUGAAGAUCUCAAACUCUACCCUGAUCAAAAGAAUACAUAGUAUUUUGUCCCAAGAAAGUCAAUGGAUUUAAGAUAUAGCCCAGGGAGGAGAAUCAAUGUGCUGACUAUCUUGCCAAAUUGGCCUUUGAAAGGAAAAAGGAUUUACAACUGGUUGAAACCCUCCAGAUGCAGUGUUAGAUUUCCUUAAUUCAAAUAAAGAAAGGAAUUUUUAUACCUUUCGAAUAUUUCAUGUAAUUUAAUUUUGUUAUGCUUCUUUUCACAAAAAAAAAAAUGGGGAUCGUUUAGUUUUAAGUGGUAAAAUGACUAAAAUACCCUUAAGGUUAAAUCCUUACAAAUAGUUUUAAAAUGGUUCACAAAUCGCUUCCGCAAUAAGAUUAGAAAGUUAUUAGUUAGAAUUGAGGUGUUAUAAGGUUGGAGUGUCUUUUGGGGUGGUUUUGUGCUAGAGAAUCACUUUGGUGGCUAAUGUAUCGGUUCAGAUUCAGGUCGGUCCGUUCCGGUCGGGUUUAGGGUGUCACAAAAUUCACAUCUCAUAAAAUUAUUUCAAAGGAAUAACUCAUCUUAUAUAUAUACUUACCAAAUAAUACAAUGUCUAAAAGCAACGUUUUUAAAUAGUUUAGAUUAUAGAAACACAAAUCGUAAAUUUCAAGCUAUUCCUCGCUGACCUUAUCUUUUCCUUUCUUUUUCAAGGAUUCCGAAACAACGUUAGCUAUGGAUUGAAAUAAUUAAAAUAAAUUAAUAAUACAAAACCCAAUUCACAUUCAAUUACAAAAUUUGUACUAUUUUUGCAUAAAGCUCGAUUUAGUCCCUAAAACUGAAACUAACUUAACUUCCACAUUUAACCUCAAAUUUUUAUACCAAUUUCACUCUAAUCUAAAUUUAGCUCCCUAUUUCUCAGUUCUACCCCAUAAUUUUGAAUUUUCAUAAUUUGGUCUCUAUUAUUUAAAAUCAACAAUUAAAAUCACAAUUGAUAAAAAAAACAAUUAACUUCAUAAUUUAGUCCUUUUUCACUUCUAACCUAAAAAUCUAUCAAAUUAAUCCCUAAAGUUUUAACUACUCAAUAAUGGUAACAACUAAAAUCUUAAGCAAUACCGAAAAAUAGUACAUAGGUCAACUAACUUUCGAGUCGUUACAAUUAACUUAAAAUGAUUAAAAAUAUUAAAGAAAAGCAACAAUAAUUAAAUUGAAAUGAGGCAGGGAUGAAAACAUCCAACAUUCAUAGAUAUAGUAAUGUUUUCAAGAUUAUAAAUAUAUAAACGGAGUAGAGUGCGCUGACUAUGGAGCAAUGGUAGAUUUAACAAUAACUACCUGCCCGCUCCAUUGUCAUUCCUAAGCAUAGAUUUAUUACUUUGUAAAUAUAUAUAUAUAAAUGUAAUUUUGAUGUUAAUUAGUAUGGUUUUCACUCAUGCUUCGUAUUGGAUUAAUUAUUAUUAUUUAAUUAAAUUAUAGAAUAAAAAAUUUAAAGGUUACAAUAAACUCAAAGUUCUUGUACUCUUUGUAUAAUUAAAAUUUAAUCUUCAUACUUCUAUUUUUAUGAAUUUAAUCUCUUUACUUUUUGAAUUUAAAAAUUUAGGUCCAUUUGGAAUAUAUAAAACAUUUAGACUAUCUAAUGGAGGUAGUAAACUAUGUCAAAAUUAAAGUAUAGAAAUUAAAUUUCAAAUUUAAGUGAAAAUAUACUAUUUUUAUAUUAUCUCAAAAAUGUAAAAAUAAAGGGAUUAAAACUGAAAUUUAACCAUUAUCUUCUCGUGUAAGAAAAAUGGAAAAAGGAUAUGUGUCAUGUAAGAAGGCCCUAAGUCACUCCAUUUAUAUGAGUAUAGAUAUUUUGAUCUGCAGAUCGUCGGUAAUCACCUUCCAGUAAGAAUCUCUUACAUUUUAAAAGGUAAACUCUCUCGCUUUUUAUUUUUUAUUUUCUUGUUCGCUUUUGCAUUCUUCGAUCUCGAGUCAGUUUUCUUUAUGUGAUCAUUUCUGUUUAUCUCUUCAUUGGUGCGUACGGAUGUUAAUUACUUUCCUAUAACAAUUUUGGAGUUUGCCCCCUUUCUUUUUAAUUAAUUAUUUUUUUGUUUAUGGAUAACAUUUAUUAUUCUCAAUUGAUUGUUCCCUGCUGUUGUUGCAUGAUUGUUAUGAUCCGGGACAUUAAAUUUUGGUUGGAAUUUCAAUUAGGGUUCAUACUAAUCAGCCCAGUUCUUGUUUGUGCCAUUUUUUCCUCCUUUUACCAGUAAUUGCGUGUUUCAUUCAUGGACACAUAAUUCUCAUGCAUAUAAAUUUGAUCAAGACUUGGCUUUUUUGUUAGGCCCCAACAUCCAGAAGGAUGAAUAAUUCCGCAAAUGGGAAUGUAAAAUAGAAAGAAAAAAAAAAGCUCGAUCUUUUUAUGAGACAAAAGUUCCCAAAUCUAGAGACAAAGUUGUUUUACUCUUGCUUUUCGGAUAUUUCAUGCUUGAAGAAAAACGCAAAUCUCUUAUCUGUCUUAACAUGAUUAUGGCAUAAUUGAAUUGAAAAUGUUGCAAAAAUAACUUCAAAAUGUAGUUAAUUUCUCGAAAUUACUUAUGGCGGCAUUGACUUGUGCACUCUCAGUCUUUAAUUAGUUUAUCUAUAUGCUGAUGGAAGUAUUUCGUACAUGUUGAGAAUUGGCAUAAAACUGUUACUAAUAUAAAGGAUUUGUGAUUCUAUGGGCAUGUUAUUUUAGAUAUUUGUUUCCAUCUCCCUUUCUUUUUCCUUUAGCUGGAUUCCUAUGUAUAAGAGUAGGUUUGAUUUUCUUUGUAAUGUGACUAGGAUAUGGUUUUAGUAUCCUUUACUACCACUUGUACGAUAUCCUUAAAUUAGACUGUUGGAUAAUUUAAUUACAAUUAAUGUUAAUCCAUUUUAUUGUGUUAAACAUACCAUUGUUUAUAUUGUAACUUGUAUCAGUUGUUGCGGCAGUACAUGCCAUGUUGCUUUUCCCUAUGAUUUUAAAUGUCGUCAUCUGAUCAAUUUUGAUUAUCUCUUCACCAGUGUACGUAGCACAGAGUUUACUUCUUAGAAAUCAAUGGGAAGAGUAUCUUCCAAUUAAAUGUUGUGUGAUUCUCUAUGGGUAUUUACUUUAUAAUUGUUGGGUUACUAUAGUGCUUGAAGCUACAUUGGUGCAGGUGUAGUUUUGUCUGGUGGAAUUCUGCGGCAGAGAUAUGUCUGGCUCGGAGUCUGAUGUUGAUGAAUAUGAUUACUCGGUUUGUUUGAUGAUUUACAAGAUGCAAAUUGGACUUAAAUUAAUUCAUUCAUAACUUAGGCAAACGUAAAAUAAGGGUUUUUUAUUUUUUAAAAUUGGGAUAAAUCUGAAAACUAUACAUCAACUUUGAACAAAUGUGCAAUGUUAUACAUAAAAUUUGAUUUUGUGCAAUUUUAUACUUGAAAUUUUCAUUUGAUUCAAUUUUCACAAAUCAUUAACACAAUUAUAAAUAAAGAGUUACCUUACAAUUAUAUAUUGCAUGUAUAAAUAAUUAUUUUUAUCUAAUAAAUAAAUAAAAUUGAUAUAAUUAUUUUUUAAAAUGUGUACAGUUGAAUCAAAAUCAAAGUUUUAAGUAUACAUUUCAACUACAAUCAAAGUUUCAUGUGUAUGAUUGCAUCAAAUCAAAGUUCAUGUAUCAAAUUGCACAUUAGGUUGAAGUUAAUGUGUAGUUUUUGAGAUUUAUCCAUUAAUUUUUUUUUUAAAAGUUUCUGUUCUAGUUUAUGGAUUGCUAGCCAGCCUAACAUAAGUUGACGGUAUUGCAGAAUAAUAAAAUAUCUGAUACUUCUGCUGCUGAAGCUAGAAGAGGAAAAGACAUCCAGGGAAGACCUUGGGAUCAGCUAAGCAUCACUAGGGAAAAAUACAGGCAAACUAGGCUAGAACAGUACAAGAACUAUGAGGAUAUCCCCCACUCUGGGGAAGUGUCAGGGAAGGUAAAAGUACUUAAAAGUUGCCCGCUUUCCUUCUAAAAUGUGCUAAAUUGAAAUUUCAGUUUGUAUGUAGGAUUGCAAGAUUACCAAGAAGGGUGCAUCAUACUAUGACUUCAGGCUAAAUUCGAGAUCUGUGAAACCACCAAUACUUCAUUUUCAGGUUAGCUGAAUGGGAAUUUUCAUUCAAGACCUGUGAUGUCAUAGAAGGAUUUGUCUUUUUCUUGUUAAAAUUCUUUCUCAUAUCUUGUAGUUGUACGGCCAGUCCUUUCCUCUUUUACUGCUUGACUGUGGUGUGAUCAUUAUUGUUAGAGAUAGACGUAUCAAUUUGUGGUGAUGCAGUUGAGGAACCUGGUAUGGGCUACAUCAAAACAUGAUGUUUAUCUCAUGUCACAAUUUUCUGUCAUGCAUUGGUCUUCAUUGACACACAAGAAGAGUAAAAUUCUUAAUGUUUCUGGGCAUGUGGCACCAUCUGAGGUCUGUGCUCUGGCAGUGAUUUGGCACUUUAUCUGACUUGUUGGUCUUCUUCCUUUUCUUUUCUUGUUAUCCCCCCAUAUUGUUUCCUCAGAUUGAUUUGCGUGUUUUUCCCUUUUAGAAACAUCCUGGAAGUCUGAUGGAAGGUUUUACGCAAACUCAAGUCAGUACUCUUGCAGUAAAGGAUAAGCUGCUAGUUGCUGGAGGAUUCCAGGGUGAACUAAUAUGUAAGGUAAGGAGAGCAACUUUUAUCCCUUCAAUCCUUCAUUGACAAAAAAGAGGUCAGAAAGAGGGAUAAGCCUUUGUGCAGUGAUUGCGGAGCUGCUUUUCCAUGCAAUAUAGCUACUUUUCAGUUUUUGCAAGUCACUUGAAGCCUAACAUUUAUAUCUUAACUGUUAUAGACAAUCUAUUGUUGGACAUAUCUGUGAUCCUGUAAGAUGGAUCUGAGUAGAAGGUUCUAUUAUGCAUUUUGGAGCUAAUGAUCUUGUGCUCAUUCUGUUCCAAACCUCAUUUACUUGUUUGUCUUGUUUUGAACUACUUACUGCUUAAAACUUUGUGAAUGACAGGUAAAAAAAUUUAUUUGGAUAGUUUCUUUUUUCCCCUUAGCUCUUGGUUGCUGUUUUCCUGAUGCCAGUUAUUUAAGAAUUAAGUAGUCGAUUUUGAUCUGUAAUGUAGCAUUUAGAUCGACCUGGAAUAAGCUUCUGCUUCAGGACAACUUAUGAUGACAAUGCCAUUACAAAUUCUGUUGAGAUUUAUGUCACUCCAAGGUAUUUCUUGUUUCCUGAUCUGCUGUUGACAUUGAUCUCAGUCAACCUGAACCUAAUUUGCUUUGUUCCUGAAUUACCAGUGGCGCAGUUCACUUUACGGCCUCAAAUAAUGACUGUGGAGUCAGAGAUUUUGAUAUGGAGAAAUAUCAGCUUUCCAAGCAUUUUCAUUUUCUUUGGCCUGUCAAUGUAAGUUACAUACAUUAGGAUUUCAUUGUUUCAGAUCUGUAAACACACACUAAUGUUAUUUUGUGUAUUAUUAAUUCUGAUUCUGUUAAUUCAAUAAAGGCAAAUGGUGAGAAAUACUUAAAAGCUAUGCUUGUAAUGUUGCUUUUGCAGCAUACUUCUCUGAGCCCUGAUGGGAAACUUCUAAUAAUAGUUGGAGACAACCCUGAUAUUAUGUUGGUAGACUCUGAUACGGGGGAGGUACUUGUCAUCCUGCUUUUGCAAUAUUGUUUACAUUUUUGGGGAUUGCAAAGCAUCAGCUGAUACUGAAAUUAAUUGCAGACUGUUAUGCCCUUGCGUGGACACUUGGACUUUUCAUUUGCGUCUGCAUGGCAUCCUGAUGGUGUCACUUUUGCAACCGGGAACCAAGACAAAACAUGCCGAAUUUGGGAUGUUCGAAACUUGUCAAAGUCAAUUGCUGUUCUAAAGGGAAACCUUGGAGCAAUACGGUCCAUUCGCUACACAUCUGAUGGUAAGUACAUGGCCAUGGCUGAGCCUGCUGACUUUGUGCAUGUGUAUGAUGUCAAAAGUGGGUACGAGAAUGAGCAAGAAAUCGAUUUCUUUGGUGAGAUAUCCGGCCUAUCCUUUAGUCCGGACACAGAGUCUCUCUUUAUUGGCGUAUGGGAUCGUACAUAUGGCAGCCUUCUUGAGUAUGGCCGCAUAUCGG